GACGAACGCUGGCGGCGUGCCUAAUACAUGCAAGUCGAACGCACAGUUUAUACCGUUGCUUGCUGCACCAUAAACUGUGAGUUGCGAACGUGUGAGUAACACGAAGGUAACCUUCCUGGUAGCGGGGGAUAACUAAUGAAAACGAUAGCUAAAACACCGUAAUACUGAUUAUUGCAUGAUAUUUGAUUUAAUUAUGCUAUUGCUUCGCUACCAGAUUGACCUGCGUUGUAUUAGCUAGUAGGUGAGGUAACGGCUCACCUAGGCGACGAUACAUAGCCGACCUGAGAGGGUGAUCGACCACACUGGGACUGAGACACGGCCCAGACUCCUACGGGAGGCAGCAGUAGGGAAUCUUCCGCAAUGGGCGAAAGUCUGACGGAGCAACGCCGCGUGAGUGAAGAAGGUUUUCGGAUCGUAAAGCUCUGUUGUAAGGGAAGAACGGGUGUGAGAGUAGAAAGCACGUACGGUAACGUAACCUUACAAAAAAGGACGGCUAAAUUCGUG
rnacentral:rRNA from 1 species